AACGAACGCUGGCGGCAUGCCUAAUACAUGCAAGUCGAACGAACGUAGCAAUACGUGAGUGGCGGACGGGUGAGUAACACGUGGGAACCUGCCCAGCGGUGGGGAACAACCGAGGGAAACUUCGGCUAAUACCGCAUACGCCCUUACGGGGAAAGAUUUAUCGCCGUUGGAGGGGCCCGCGUCCGAUUAGCUAGUUGAUGAGGUAACGGCUCACCAAGGCGACGAUCGGUAACUGGUCUGAGAGGACGACCAGUCACACUGGGACUGAGACACGGCCCAGACUCCUACGGGAGGCAGCAGUAGGGAAUAUUGGACAAUGGGGGAAACCCUGAUCCAGCAAUGCCGCGUGAGUGAUGAAGGCCUUAGGGUUGUAAAGCUCUUUCGCCCACGACGAUGGUGACGGUAGUGGGAGAAGAAGCCCCGGCUAACUUCGUGCCAGCCGCCGCUGUAA
rnacentral:rRNA from 1 species